rnacentral:rRNA from 1 species
GAUGAACGCUGGCGGCGUGCCUAAUACAUGCAAGUCGAGCGAACAGAUGAGGAGCUUGCUCCUCUGACGUUAGCGGCGGACGGGUGAGUAACACGUGGAUAACCUACCUAUAAGACUGGGAUAACUUCGGGAAACCGGAGCUAAUACCGGAUAAUAUAUUGAACCGCAUGGUUCAAUAGUGAAAGACGGUUUUGCUGUCACUUAUAGAUGGAUCCGCGCCGCAUUAGCUAGUUGGUAAGGUAACGGCUUACCAAGGCAACGAUGAGUAGCCGACCUGAGAGGGUGAUCGGCCACACUGGAACUGAGACACGGUCCAGACUCCUACGGGAGGCAGCAGUAGGGAAUCUUCCGCAAAGGGCGAAAGCCUGACGGAGCAACGCCGCGUGAGUGAUGAAGGUCUUCGGAUCGUAAAACUCUGUUAUUAGGGAAGAACAAAUGUGUAAGUAACUAUGCACGUCUUGACGGUACCUAAUCAGAAAGCCACGGCUAACUACGUG